rnacentral:tRNA from 2 species
GCGAGGGUGGCGGAAUUGGCAUACGCGCUGGAUUUAGGAUCCAGUCCGCCGAAAGCGGGUGCGGGUUCAAGUCCCGCCCCUCGCA